rnacentral:lncRNA from 1 species
AGGUAUAGUCGCUUUGACACUCUUUUUAGUCUUGAUAUAGAUGAUUGUUCAUAUAAUUGGAAAGAAAUAGGAGUACAUAAUUAAAUAGUGCAUGGGAAUAAUAAUUCUUUAAAUAGGAACGUCAUCAGUUUUUGAAUCUUAAGAGUAUCAGGUAAAUUGAAGCCUGACCCUGAACAAGCUGUCCCCAAAUUAGUGCUACUGAACUGCAAAAUCUGACAUUCUACACGUGUCUGCUAGCCUUGUAUUAAUUUAUAUUUUGUGUUAGGUUUUGAAUUUUAACCUUCUCCAUUACAAGAUCAAGAUUGCACUCUUAAUGCUAUAACGGGGCUAUUAGACUUUGGCUGCUUAUUUUGAUCGAUAAAACCUGUUCAUUUUGCUACUUCUAUUGAUAAGAAGAGACUAUUAGAGGGCUGUAUUGACUUAUUGUGGUUGUUUAUGCAGGUGGAGCUAGUUGAAGGGUCAUCUUACCUUGGGCAGCCACUGCCAUUCUCCAUUACUACAUUAAUCUGGAUUGAGGUUUUGGUGAUCGGUUACAUUGAGUUCCAAAGAAACUCAGAGUUGGACCCAGAGAAGCGGCUAUACCCUGGAGGAAAGUUCUUUGAUCCACUUGGCCUAGCUGAGGACCCGGAGAAAAAGGCAACACUUCAAUUGGCAGAGAUAAAGCACGCUCGCCUUGCCAUGGUUGCAUUCCUUGGAUUUGCAGUUCAAGCUGCUGUUACUGGGAAAGGACCUCUCAACAACUGGGCCACUCACUUGAGUGACCCUCUCCAUACAACCAUCAUCGAUAACUUCAGCUCUUAAAAAAGACACUAUUUGUAUUGCCUGUUUUGGGUUGUUUGCACGGAGGAUGGAUUACUAGGUUGUACUAAUAUUUAUAUGCG